UUACAGGCAUGAGCCACCGCGUCUGGCUCCUUUCUGCACUCUUGCACAGAAAGAAAAGGUUGUUAGCGGCUCAUCUCCUAUCCCAUUGCUUGCCAGAAGGAGUUAAGAGUCUGCAGAGAAGCCACAGUGUGGCAGGGAGUCUAGAAUCCCAAAUAACAGAUGUGGAAGAAUCCUGCCUCAGGACCUGGAUGCGCCUCCUGCCCGUGAGGCUGGCGAGCACAGGUCUGUUGGCAGCAACUGGAUGUGGGUAGUCACCCCCAACUGCUUCUUGGGCAGAGAUGGAUGGAAGGUUGUAAGUUAGGGAGACAGACUGAAGGCCUUUUUUUGGAAACCAGAAACAGAGGCAUAUGCCCUGAGAUGCAGGAUGGAUGCUGACUGGUAAGAGGAGAGUUUAGUCACUCCUGCACUUUCAUAACCAGUUCACGCUGCUCCUGCUCAUCCAUGCAUACCAGCCCUGAAUGAAACACCACAUGCAGAUCCAAGGACACUGUGGAGACAGGCACCCUUUCUGCAAGAGAGAAUUUCAGAAAAGGUAACACACAAGGAGGUGCUUUCCCACAGAGGUUACUGGUGUUAAGAGACGCACCCAUGUGGACACUCUCUUGCAUACGGCACACACCAUCGUCUCUUACACACUUUCUUCCCCAUGGUCCAAGCCAGAUGACGAGGGACUGAGGAGUGGUACAGGAGGUCACUUGAAGAACAAGAGGUCAGGCUGCUUUGGUGUGAAAGCUUCUGGGACCUGAUGGUGUAGUUUGGUGCCCGCAACCCAGUUCUCCUGCUGCCUGGAGACAUUACGGACCAUACAUCAGUGGCGGGGAAGCUGGAGAGUGUGCAGGUGUCCUCACCUGCAGCAUGCCGAGAGAGGCAUGAAAAGAAAGGAGAGAAAAGAAAAAAUAGAGUGGUGAUGUCGAAUACCACAAAAGGAAGUGACAGUAGGGAGAGAAGGCGAGGAGAGACUCCAAAUCUCUCAUCUACCAGCUGGGAUGGCGGGGGGACACCUUGGUCCUCACCCAGGCUACUUGUCCAUGCCCUUCCCAUUGGGAAGGACAAGGUGUUUCUGUCCAUCCUGACAAUCUCUGGAGCAGAUCUCUUUUUCUUGCAACAAAAGAAGGGGGCAGUCCCCACUCCUCAAGACUCCCAGAGGGAGGGCCCCCAGUGUGUCCUCACACUGGCCUCUCACAUCUUUAUAGCCAAAAGGUUCCUAAGAAGCAGCAAGGUCUGGAGAGCGGUUUGGAGCUGAGAUCCCACCUUCAAAACUAGUUCCAAUAUCACCACUAACCAUGAGGCUUGGAGCCAGCACAUCCACAAAUUCUCACACAGAGAAUUCUUCCUUGUUCCCAUUUACCUAUAGGUCUAUUGAGUGAAUACAAUUCAAUAAUAUUGAUGUAUAUCUUUGAAAACAAUGAGAACAUAUACAACACGAGCUAUCAUAUACAGCGGCCUCCUCUUAUCCUCAGGGGAUACAUUCCAGCAUCCUCCAGUGGAGGCCAGGAACUGCGGAACUGUGGAUAGGGCCAAACCCUGUAUAAACCGUCUUUCUCUCUACACAUACAUAUACAUACAUGUGAUGAAGUUUAAUUUGCAAAUUAGGCACAGUUAAGAGUUUAGGCCAGGUGCGGUGGCUCACGUCUGUAAUCCCAGCACUUUGGGAGGCUGAGGCAGGUGGAUCACCUGAG